AUUGAACGCUGGCGGCAGGCCUAACACAUGCAAGUCGAACGAGUGGCGGACGGGUGAGUAAUGUCUGGGAAACUGCCUGAUGGAGGGGGAUAACUACUGGAAACGGUAGCUAAUACCGCAUACCAUCAGAUGUGCCCAGAUGGGAUUAGCUGUGUGGUGGGGUAACGGAUCACCAAGGCGACGAUCCCUAGCUGGUCUGAGAGGAUGACCAGCCACACUGGAACUGAGACCCGGGCCAGACGCCUACGGGAGGCAGCAGUGGGGAAUAUUGCACAAUGGGCGCGAGCCUGAUGCAGCCAUGCCGCGUGUAUGAAGAAGGCCUUAGGGUUGUAAAGUACUUUCAGCGGGGAGGCGUUACCCGCAUAAGAAGCACCGGCUAACUCGGUGCCAGCAGCCGCGGUAAUUC
rnacentral:rRNA from 1 species